rnacentral:rRNA from 1 species
CCUACGGGAGGCAGCAGUGGGGGAUAUUGCACAAUGGGGGGAACCCUGAUGCAGCGACGCCGCGUGGGUGAAGAAGCGCCUCGGCGCGUAAAGUCCUGUCAGCAGGGAAGAAAAUGACGGUAUCUGAAGAAGAAGCCCCGGCUAACUCCGUGCCAGCAGCCGCGGUAAUACGGAGGGGGCAAGCGUUAUCCGGAUUUACUGGGCGUAAAGGGGGCGCAGGCGGGGAUGCAAGCCAGGAGUGAAAGCCUGGGGCCCAACCCCAGGACUGCACUUGGAACUGCGUGGCUGGAGUGCGGGAGGGGCAGGCGGAAUUCCUGGUGUAGGGGUGAAAUGCGUAGAGAUUAGGAGGAACACCGGUGGCGAAGGCGACCUGCUGGACUGCAACUGACGUUGAGGCCCGAAAGCGUGGGGAGCAAACAGGAUUAGAUACCCCAGUAGUC